rnacentral:misc_RNA from 1 species
GAUGAAGAACGCAGUGAAAUGCGAUACGUAAUGUGAAUUGCAAAUUCAGUGAAUCAUCGAGUCUUUGAACGCACAUUGCGCCCCCUGGUAUUCCGGGGGGCAUGCCUGUCCGCGCGUCAUUGCUGCCCUCAAGCACGGCUUGUGUGUUGGGCCCCGUCCUCCGAUCCCGGGGGACGGGCCCGAAAGGCAGCGGCGGCACCGCGUCCGGUCCUCGAGCGUAUGGGGCUUUGUCACCCGCUCUGUAGGCCCGGCCGGCGCUUGCCGAUCAACCCAAAUUUUUAUCCAGGUUGACCUCGGAUCAGGUAGGGAUACCCGCUGAACUUAAGCAUAUCAAUAAGCGGAGGA